UACCAGCACCCCGACGUGGUCGGGACGGAUUAUUGGGCCUAAGCAAUCCGUAGCCGGUUCUACAAGUCUUCCGUUAAAUCCACCUGCUUAACAGAUGGGCUGCGGAGGAUACUAUAGAGCUAGGAGGCGGGAGAGGCAAGCGGUACUUAGUGGGUAGGGGUAAAAUCCGUUGAUCCAUUGAAGACCACCAGUGGCGAAGGCGG
rnacentral:rRNA from 1 species